rnacentral:SRP_RNA from 1 species
GGUGACCCCAUCGGUCCCCCCGCAACGAUUACCCGUGAACCUGGUCAGAUCCGGAAGGAAGCAGCCACAGCGGGAACAUUGUGUGCCGGGGUGUGGCUGGUGGGGGCACCACCUUAA